UUAAGCAUAUCAAUAAGCGGAGGAAAAGAAACCAACAGGGAUUGCCCUAGUAACGGCGAGUGAAGCGGCAACAGCUCAAAUUUGAAAUCUGGCCUUCUUUGGGGGUCCGAGUUGUAAUUUGCAGAGGGCGCUUUGGCGUCGGCAGCGGUCUAAGUUCCUUGGAACAGGACGUCACAGAGGGUGAGAAUCCCGUACGUGGUCGCCUGCCUUCGCCGUGUAAAGCCCCUUCGACGAGUCGAGUUGUUUGGGAAUGCAGCUCUAAAUGGGAGGUAAAUUUCUUCUAAAGCUAAAUACUGGCCAGAGACCGAUAGCGCACAAGUAGAGUGAUCGAAAGAUGAAAAGCACUUUGGAAAGAGAGUCAAACAGCACGUGAAAUUGUUGAAAGGGAAGCGCUUGCCGCCAGACUUGCCCGUGAAGGUUCUCCUCCUCGGGCAGGCCAGCAUCAGUUUGAGCGAUCGGAUAAUGGCCUCUGUCAUGUAUCUUCCUUCGGGAUGACCUUAUAGGGGAGUCGUAGUACGGUCAGCUCGGACUGAGGUCCGCGCAUUUGCUAGGAUGCUGGCGUAAUGGCUGCAAGCGGCCCGUCUUGAAACACGGACCAAGGAGUCUAACAUCUAUGCGAGUGUUUGGGUGUCAAGCCCGAGCGCGCAAUGAAAGUGAACGGAGGUGGGAACCCUCUCUGGGGGUGCACCAUCGACCGAUCCUGAAGUCUUCGGAUGGAUUUGAGUAAGAGCAUGGCUGUUGGGACCCGAAAGAUGGUGAACUAUGCUUGAAUAGGGUGAAGCCAGAGGAAACUCUGGUGGAGGCUCGCAGCGGUUCUGACGUGCAAAUCGAUCGUCAAAUUUGGGCAUAGGGGCGAAAGACUAAUCG
rnacentral:rRNA from 1 species